UUCACUGGUCAGGAAAAAGUGGGUGGAAAACUGGGAGAGCUUCAGAGAGAUAGCGCUGGUUACAACCGGGUCUCCAAGGAUGACCCAGAGCUGGCCUUGAGGAUGAGCAGGCAGAAAUACAGCACAAGCAGAGGCCUGUGGUGGGAGAGCAGGUUGUGUGGCUCCGUCAGGGUCUCUCUGGGAAAACAGACACCUCUUGGAGUUUAUGCAACAGAGGGAAUGUAAAGCAGGGGCGCGGCUAUGCGGACGAGAGAACUCAACGGGAUGACGGGGCAAGGCAGAAACGGGCAUCCGCAGGAAGCCACAGCCACCCCUGCUAGAGGGAAAAAAGAAGAACCCAAACCCAGAGCUGAAACCACAGCGGGCCUGUUGGGGGAGAGCUGGAACUAGGGAAGACACAUGGUGACUGCUGCACAAGUCCCCAGGGCAGCAAGGAGGGGAAGGCCCUGCCCUCUCCUUUCUUCUUAGCCUCCGUCAUUUUCUGUGACAUCUGAAACACUGCCACUGCAGGGGUCAGUGGUGAAGGGUGAAAACAGAGCAGGGAAAGCGCGAGGCUGGAUUCAGGGCAAACAGGCCCAGGACCGGUAAUGCAUCUUUGGGUAACUGAGUUUGCGCAGGGCUGGAGAGGCUGUUUCAUUGCUCCGACAAGACCCAUGGUGUUCCGGGGCCAGCAUCCCCAGGAUGAGCUGAUGGCCAGAGUCUGCGACGAGGAUCCCAGAAGGCAAAGCAGCUCAAGUGGAAACUCAAGGAGCUGAGCGCUCUGGUUGGAGCAGACAUGAAGGCAGCUUCCUCUCCAUGCCCCAUGCCACCCAGGGGCUCACCCAGACAGCAGAGCUUAAAAUCCACACUCUGGAGCAGUGCUUCUCGCAUUUUAAUGCGCAUUAACAUCACCCAGAUCCUGUUGAAACAGAUUCUGAUUCCAAAGUUCCAGGGGUUGAAGGAUGAUGGGGGUUGCAGAGGGUAGAGGGGUUGUGUGGGCAACCCCGUAUCUCAGUCAUGCCCGAGGCUUACUUACCAGGGUAAGCAGGUACAUUUGGUCAGUGGACCCUACUUUGAAAAGUGAGAUCCUUGCUGAUUAGCUCUAAAAGCCUAUAAAUUCUUUUGCCCCCUAACUCAGUGUACGUCACUACAUGGGGUCACCUCCAGUGAUGGUUCUCAACGGAGUAGGGAGACGCCAAACACAAGCUUGCUCUCUCCUUGCUCACUUUUGGAUUUCACAGUGAUUAAGCACAGUAUUGGUUGAAACUCGGGAAUGCUAGAUGUUCUGGGAAGUAUGGGGCUGUCCCACAUGACAAAGAACCGUCCCGUAUCCUGCAUAUCUGCCUUUUAUCUAAGCUCGGCAGCUAACAAAAAGCUUUCCCCCCACUUCCUCAACUUUUUAUUUUGGAAAAUAUUCACACCUACAGAAAAGAUGCAGGAAUAAAUAGUUCAAGGAGCACCUGGGUAGCUCUCACCUACAGUCUCCAAUUGGCAAUGUUUUUGGCAUCUUUGCCUUAUUACAUUCUCUCUGUGUGUAUUUAUACAAAAUCUCUCUCUCUCUUGCUAAAUCAUGUGAGAUUUAAUUACAAACAUCAUACUACUUUUUUUUUUUUAUUUUUUUUUUAUUUUUUUUUAUUUUUGGGACAGAGAGAGACAGAGCAUGAACGGGGGAGGGGCAGAGAGAGAGGGAGACACAGAAUCGGAAACAGGCUCCAGGCUCCGAGCCAUCAGCCCAGAGCCUGACGCGGGGCUCGAACUCACAGACCGCGAGAUCGUGACCUGGCUGAAGUCGGACGCUUAACCGACUGCGCCACCCAGGCGCCCCUCAUACUACUUUUUUAAAAAAAAUUUUUUUAACGUUUAUUUAUUUUUGAGACAGAGAGAGACAGAGCAUGAACGGGGGAGGGGCAGAGAGAGAGGGAGACACAGAAUCGGAAGCAGGAAGCCAUCAGCCCAGAGCCCGACACGGGGCUCGAACUCAUGGACCGCGAGAUCGUGACCUGAGCCGAAGUCGGACGCCCAACCAACUGAGCCACCCAGGCACCCCAACAUCAUACUACUUUAUGCCUAAACAUUUCAGCUUAUCUUCCCUAACUAGGCAUUCUCUUGCAUAACUAUAGGUAUCACAGUCAGGAAAUCUAUAAUUGAUACAAUUUUACUUCAGUAAUUUACAGUUCAUAUUUCUAAAUUCCCCUAAUCGUACCAAUGGUCUCAUUAUACCAACAAUGUCUCUUUAAAAAAAUCCAGAAUACAAAGAUCUUGCCCACAUGGAUUUCUCAUGUCCACUGGAUGUCCGGGGGGGGGGU